GUGCUCACUUCGGUAGCACAUACACUAAAAUUGAAACGAUACAGAGAUUAGUUUGGCCCCUGCGCAAGUAUGACACACAAAUUUGUGAAGCGUUUCAUAUUUUU
ensembl:snRNA U6 U6 spliceosomal RNA